AUGCCAGAGCCACCAGCAGCAACAACACCAUCUGCAAGAGAGCAUUUACUUCCUCCCCAUCUCGAAUCUCUAGCAAUAGUGGACUGUGCUGGCAUGUUGGGUGGGACUCUCCGUCUGCCUGCGCCCCUCAAGCGACUGUGCAUUAUUGGCAACAGUGGGUUGACAUCGCUGGAGUUUCUAUCGGGAGAGCACCCCACAUCGCUGGAAUUCCUUGAUCUCGAAAACUGCAGUACCCUGGCAUUCCUGCCGAAUGAGCCGCAAGUAUACAGGUCUCUCUGGUAUCUUGAAAUUAGAAUCUGCCCUGCUAUAAAGAAGCUCCUUAGAUGCCUGCAGCAGCAGCUGGGCAGCAUCAAACAGAAACGACUAGAUGCCUGCUAUGAAGCAACGGAAUUCAAAUCAUUUAAACCGAAGACAUGGAAGGAAGUACCAAGGCUAGCCCGUGAGCGGAGGCAGGCCUGCCGGAGCUGA
rnacentral:rRNA from 1 species